rnacentral:rRNA from 1 species
AUUGAACGCUGGCGGCAUGCUUUACACAUGCAAGUCGAACGGCAGCACGGACUUCGGUCUGGUGGCGAGUGGCGAACGGGUGAGUAAUACAUCGGAACGUACCCAGUAAUGGGGGAUAACUAUCCGAAAGGAUAGCUAAUACCGCAUACGCCCUACGGGGGAAAGAGGGGGAUCGCGAGACCUCUUGUUAUUGGAGCGGCCGAUGGCUGAUUAGCUAGUUGGUAGGGUAAAGGCCUACCAAGGCAACGAUCAGUAGCGGGUCUUAGAGGACGAUCCGCCACACUGGAACUGCGACACGGUCCAGACUCCUACGGGAGGCAGCAGUGGGGAAGCUUGGACAAUGGGCGCAAGCCUGAUCCAGCAAUGCCGCGUGCGUGAAGAAGGCCUUCGGGUUGUAAAGCGCUUUUGUCAGGGAGCAAAUCCUUGUGGCUAAUACCCACCGGGGAUGAGAGUACCUGAAGAAUAAGGACCGGCUAACUACGUGCCAGCCGCCGCCGUAA